UCCGGUUUCUCAAGGUCAAACUCCCUGGUCUUGUAAGUCAACAUACCUCUAUAAUUUUUUAGGCUAAUGAGUUCUUAUGAAUAUUGUUGACUGUUUUUAAUAAUAGAUAAUUUUUUAAUUGUUUCAUCUUUCUUUUGUCCAAGUAAUCUAUAGUGAUUACUUUCUUUUUUAAUAGUUCUGGGUAUUUCUUUUUUUAAUACUUUCUUUUGUCAAACAUCUUACUUGCCUAGAUGUCACGUUAAGUAUUAUUUAUUUCUUUAAUUAUUUUUAUUGUUACACUAAAUAAAGAGAAGUUAAGUUUUCAGUUUUACAGAAACAUUUACUUUUGCCCUUUGGCUACUGAAGUAAUAUGAUAAUUUGUAAACCUCUUUUUUUUCUCUAUGGGAUACUAAAUUGUAGAAAAUGACAACUUAACUGUCUAUUUUGCAGAUUGAUGUAGGCAUUGGAUCUUCAUCAUUUGCAAGAGGUGUCAUUGACCUUGUCUUGGGAUAUGUCACAAGCUUGGUGAUUGACCUGGCUAUUUCGAUAGAGGAAAGCCUUAACGUACAUGGUGGGGCUGUAUCAUUGGGACACCCAUUAGGAAGCAGUGGAGCUCGUAUCUUGGUCACAUUGUUAGGGGUAUUGAGACAUAAAAAGGGAAAGUACGGGGUUGGUGCCAUAUGCAACGGUGGCGGGGGAGCUUCUUCACUUGUUCUUGAGCUCCUGUAAGACCUGUAAUUGUUUUUGAGCUUAUCUUGAUUGAAUUCUCCUGAUCGGCUAGCCAGCUUAUAAAUAAAGCUAAUUGGCUAACCCAAUUGUACUCAUCACUUGGUUCAUUUUCAAUAAUAAGAAUCAAUUUCUCAUUAUUCUCUCAUUUUUAAUAUGUG